AGUGGGGAAUAUUGGACAAUGGGCGCAAGCCUGAUCCAGCCAUACCGCGUGGGUGAAGAAGGCCUUCGGGUUGUAAAGCCCUUUUGUUGGGAAAGAAAUCCAGCUGGCUAAUACCCGGUUGGGAUGACGGUACCCAAAGAAUAAGCACCGGCUAACUUCGUGCCAGCAGCCGCGGUAAUACGAAGGGUGCAAGCGUUACUCGGAAUUACUGGGCGUAAAGCGUGCGUAGGUGGUCGUUUAAGUCCGUUGUGAAAGCCCUGGGCUCAACCUGGGAACUGCAGUGGAUACUGGGCGACUAGAGUGUGGUAGAGGGUAGCGGAAUUCCUGGUGUAGCAGUGAAAUGCGUAGAGAUCAGGAGGAACAUCCAUGGCGAAGGCAGCUACCUGGACCAACACUGACACUGAGGCACGAAAGCGUGGGGAGCAAACAGGAUUAGAUACCCCCGUAGUCCGG
rnacentral:rRNA from 1 species